GUUGUAAAGCACGCUGUUACACUGCAAUCAUAUUUUUGUUUUAAAUUAGUUUUGCGGACUGUCGCCGCAGGCGAUGCGGUGUCCUCGACAAUUUGCUUCGAGAUCCCUCUCCUAACUUAUUUAACCCGGUUCAUUGUAAAUUCACAUUAUUUAUUAAGGAGAUGCCUGCCCUGUUACAGCUUCGGGACCACUUGGAACGGUUGUCCGAAGAAUUGGUAGAUCAGUAUCCUUCUCCAUUGCCAACACCGGACCGAUCGCCAUAUUUGGAAAAUUAUGUAUUAAUAAGGAUAGAUGAA